CCUACGGGUGGCAGCAGUGGGGAAUAUUGGUCAAUGGACGAGACUCUGAACCAGCAACGUCGCGUGAAUGAUGAAUGUCCUCGGAUUGUAAAGCUUCUUUCAUAUGGAAGUAAAAAGUUCCGGUACCUUAGGAAUAAGUGUCCGCUAACAACGUGCCAGCAGCCGCGCUAAUACGUAGGAGGCGAGCGUUAUCCGGAUUGACUGGGUGUAAAGGGUGCGUAGGUGGUUUGACAAGUUGGUAGUGUAAUUCCGAGGCUUAACCACGGCACUACAACCAAAACUGGCGGACUUGAGUGCAGGAGGGGCGAGUGGAAUUCGUAGUGUAGCGGUGGAAUGCGCAGAUAUUAGGAGGAACACCGGUGGCGAAGGCGAAUUGCUGGACUGUAACUGACACUGAGGCACGAAAGCGUGGGGAGCAAACAGGAUUAGAUACCCUAGUAGUC
rnacentral:rRNA from 1 species